UAGUAGCGGCGAGCGAAGCGGGAAGAGCUCAAAUUUAUAAUCUGGCACCUUCGGUGUCCGAGUUGUAAUCUCUAGAAAUGUUUUCCGCGUUGGACCGCACACAAGUCUGUUGGAAUACAGCGGCAUAGUGGUGAGACCCCCGUAUAUGGUGCGGACGCCCAGCGCUUUGUGAUACAUUUUCGAAGAGUCGAGUUGUUUGGGAAUGCAGCUCAAAUUGGGUGGUAAAUUCCAUCUAAAGCUAAAUAUUGGCGAGAGACCGAUAGCGAACAAGUACCGUGAGGGAAAGAUGAAAAGCACUUUGGAAAGAGAGUUAACAGUACGUGAAAUUGUUGGAAGGGAAACGCUUGAAGUCAGACUUGCUUGCCGAGCAAUCGGUUUGCAGGCCAGCAUCAGUUUUCCGGGAUGGAUAAUGGUAGAGAGAAGGUA
rnacentral:rRNA from 1 species